AUGCCGUCCCGCGACUGGCGCUGAAGAUGGAGUUCCAUCGGGGAGCGGGACCGAUGCGAGCCGCGCGCCUGGGUGAUCCAC
rfam:Sphingopyxis sp. LC363 contig15, whole genome shotgun sequence.